rnacentral:rRNA from 1 species
UACGGAAGGCAGCAGUGGGGAAUAUUGCACAAUGGGCGAAAGCCUGAUGCAGCUAUGCCGCGUGUAUGAAGAAGGCCUUAGGGUUGUAAAGUACUUUCAUCGGGGAGGAAAAAACAAAACUAAUAAUUUUAUUUCUUGACGUUACCCGAAAAAGAAGCACCGGCUAACUCCGUGCCAGCAGCCGCGGUAAUACGGAGGGUGCUAGCGUUAAUCAGAAUUACUGGGCGUAAAGAGCACGUAGGUGGUUUUUUUAAAGUCAGAUGUGAAAUCCCUGGGCUUAACCUAGGAACUGCAUUUUGAAACUGAAAUACUAGAGUAUCGUAGAGGGAGGUAGAAUUCUAGGUGUAGCGGUGAAAUGCGUAGAUAUCUGGAGGAAUACCUGUGGCGAAAGCGGCCUCCUAAACGAAUACUGACACUGAGGGUGCGAAAGCGUGGGGAGCAAAACAGGGAUUAGAUACCCC